AUUGAACGCUGGCGGCAUGCUUUACACAUGCAAGUCGAACGGUAACAGGCCUUCGGGUGCUGACGAGUGGCGCACGGGUGAGUAAUGCAUCGGAACGUACCCAGAGGUGGGGGAUAACGCAGCGAAAGCUGUGCUAAUACCGCAUGUGAUCUGAGGAUGAAAGCGGGGGACCGAGCAGCAAUGUUUGGCCUCGCGCCUUUGGAGCGGCCGAUGUCGGAUUAGCUAGUUGGUGGGGUAAAGGCCUACCAAGGCGACGAUCCGUAGCUGGUCUGAGAGGACGACCAGCCACCCUGGGACUGAGACACGGCCCAGACUCCUACGGGAGGCAGCAGUGGGGAAUUUUGGACAAUGGGCGCAAGCCUGAUCCAGCAAUGCCGCGUGCGGGAAGAAGGCCUUCGGGUUGUAAACCGCUUUUGGCAGGAACGAAACGGUGUCCGCUAAUACCGGGCGCUAAUGACGGUACCUGCAGAAUAAGCACCGGCUAACUACGUG
rnacentral:rRNA from 1 species